rnacentral:rRNA from 1 species
CUUUACUAUAGCUUCGCCUUGGCGUUAGCAGCAACAUGUGUAGGAUAGGUGGGAGGCUAUGAAGCAGGGGCGCCAGUUCCUGUGGAGCCAUCCUUGAAAUACCACCCUUAUUGCUGUUGACGUCUAACCGAGACCCGUUAUCCGGGUCCGGGACAUGGCGUGGUGGGUAGUUUGACUGGGGCGGUCGCCUCCCAAAGUGUAACGGAGGCGCGCGAUGGUGGGCUCAGAACGGUCGGAAAUCGUUCGACGAGUGCAAUGGCAUAAGCCCGCCUGACUGCGAGACUGACAAGUCGAGCAGAGACGAAAGUCGGCCAUAGUGAUCCGGUGGUCCUGCGUGGAAGGGCCAUCGCUCAACGGAUAAAAGGUA